rnacentral:rRNA from 1 species
UGGGGAAUAUUGCACAAUGUGCGCAAGCCUGAUGCAGCCAUGCCGCGUGUGUGAAGAAGGCCUUCGGGUUGUAAAGCACUUUCAGCGGGGAGGAAGGCGAUAAGGUUAAUAACCUUGUCGAUUGACGUUACCCGCAGAAGAAGCACCGGCUAACUCCGUGCCAGCAGCCGCGGUAAUACGGAGGGUGCAAGCGUUAAUCGGAAUUACUGGGCGUAAAGCGCACGCAGGCGGUCUGUCAAGUCGGAUGUGAAAUCCCCGGGCUCAACCUGGGAACUGCAUUCGAAACUGGCAGGCUAGAGUCUUGUAGAGGGGGGUAGAAUUCCAGGUGUAGCGGUGAAAUGCGUAGAGAUCUGGAGGAAUACCGGUGGCGAAGGCGGCCCCCUGGACAAAGACUGACGCUCAGGUGCGAAAGCGUGGGGAGCAAACAGG